rnacentral:rRNA from 1 species
AUUGAACGCUGGCGGCAGGCCUAACACAUGCAAGUCGAGCGGAUGAAGGGAGCUUGCUCCUGGAUUCAGCGGCGGACGGGUGAGUAAUGCCUAGGAAUCUGCCUGGUAGUGGGGGAUAACGUCCGGAAACGGGCGCUAAUACCGCAUACGUCCUGAGGGAGAAAGUGGGGGAUCUUCGGACCUCACGCUAUCAGAUGAGCCUAGGUCGGAUUAGUUAGUUGGUGGGGUAAAGGCCUACCAAGGCGACGAUCCGUAACUGGUCUGAGAGGAUGAUCAGUCACACUGGAACUGAGACACGGUCCAGACUCCUACGGGAGGCAGCAGUGGGGAAUAUUGGACAAUGGGCGAAAGCCUGAUCCAGCCAUGCCGCGUGUGUGAAGAAGGUCUUCUGAUUGUAAAGCACUUUAAGUUGGGAGGAAGGGCAGUAAGUUAAUACCUUGCUGUUUUGACGUUACCAACAGAAUAAGCACCGGCUAACUUCGUG